ACACUACUGACGCUCAUGCACGAAAGCGUGGGUAUCGAACAGGAUUAGAUACCCUGGUAGUCCGCACGGUAAACGAUGGAUGCCCGCUGUUGGCGAUACACUGUCAGCGGCCAAGCGAAAGCGUUAAGCAUCCCACCUGGGGAGUACGCCGGCAACGGUGAAACUCAAAGGAAUUGACGGGGGCCCGCACAAGCGGAGGAACAUGUGGUUUAAUUCGAUGAUACGCGAGGAACCUUACCCGGGCUUGAACUGCAGGAGAAGGAAACAGAGAUGUUGACGCCCUUCGGGGCUCCUGUGGAGGUGCUGCAUGGUUGUCGUCAGCUCGUGCCGUGAGGUGUCGGCUUAAGUGCCAUAACGAGCGCAACCCUUUUCGCCAGUUGCCAUCAGGUGAUGCUGGGCACUCUGGGGAUACUGCCACCGUAAGGUGUGAGGAAGGUGGGGAUGACGUCAAAUCAGCACGGCCUUUACGUCCGGGGCUACACACGUGUUACAAUGGGGAGUACAGAGAGUCGGCCGCACGCAAGUACGGUCCAAUCAUGAAAGCUCCCCUCAGUUCGGAUUGGGGUCUGCAACCCGACCCCAUGAAGCUGGAUUCGCUAG
rnacentral:rRNA from 1 species